CGCUCCCAUGGCGCACAUUACCAUUAACCAGUACCUGCAGCAGGUGUACGAAGCCAUCGACAGCAGAGAUGGAGCAUCUUGUGCAGAGUUGGUGUCUUUUAAACAUCCUCAUGUUGCAAACCCACGACUUCAAAUGGCCUCUCCAGAGGAGAAGUGUCAACAAGUCUUGGAACCCCCUUAUGAUGAAAUGUUUGCAGCUCAUUUAAGGUGCACUUACGCAGUGGGGAAUCAUGACUUCAUAGAGGCAUACAAGUGCCAGACCGUGAUAGUCCAAUCAUUCUUGCGAGCAUUCCAGGCCCACAAAGAAGAAAACUGGGCUCUGCCUGUCAUGUAUGCAGUAGCGCUUGACCUUCGUGUGUUUGCCAAUAAUCCGUGCUGGUAUAGAGGACUCUAAGAAGUGGGGCAUGCUGUUUCUGGUGAACCAGCUGUUUAAAAUCUACUUCAAGAUCAACAAACUCCAUUUAUGUAAACCCCUAAUUAGAGCAAUUGACAGCUCAAACCUGAAAGACGAUUACAGCACUGCACAGAGAGUAACAUACAAAUACUACGUUGGACGCAAGGCUAUGUUUGACAGCGAUUUUAAGCAAGCUGAGGAGUACCUGUCAUUUGCCUUUGAGCAUUGUCACCGUUCUAGUCAGAAGAACAAAAGGAUGAUUCUGAUCUAUUUGCUUCCAGUAAAAAUGCUAUUGGGUCACAUGCCC
rnacentral:sRNA from 1 species